rnacentral:lncRNA from 1 species
AUGACCAAAAACCUACCUGCCAUUUCCUCUGUAGCUGAGUAUCACAUCAACCAAUCAGAUGAAGACUUGACUGAUGGAGAGGACCUCUAUGACUUCCCACUGUCCAAUAGGAGGGCAAGUGACCGCCAUGAUUAUAGCGAGAUGACAGAGAGCAUCUAUGACGUCCCCAGUUCCCUAAUGAGGAAAAUGUCUGAACACACACUUGAGCCUUACCCUGGAGGUGAGAUACUGGUGGAGGACAGGGGCCUCCUGGAUGACAUGAUGGCCAGUCUGGGUGGAGGGACGGUGGGCUGGAUAACAGGUGCUUCUACUGUGGAGACCUACGGGCUGGCUCGUCAUGGCUCUUAGGACUGGUAUAUAGUAUAGACUCUGGAUAAUAUAGACUGAAUGAGUUUUCCUCAUUCAAAUUGUUCUAUAAAGCUUGACGCAUUCUGUUAGAGAUUUAAAUAUGUUUACAUUUUAUGAAAAAAAAAUCUCAUUUGUCAUGAUAUUCUAUUCUAUUGACUUCUCUUUUAAUACAAUCUACUGUCAAGGAAAUACCAUAUUAAAUAACUAACUUUAUACUGUCAAAGUGUUCCACUUAGUAUAUAAUGUCAGGAGAGAGGUACUAUAGUAUUCAGGCAGACCCUAUCCUUCUUUUUUAGAAGGUAGAUCAGAUUUAAUACUGCAGAUACAUUGUGGCAUCAUUUCCAAUCACACAUGUAUAUUUUUUGUAAAUAUAUAGAGUAUAUAUUAUUUAAAUAUAUAUACAUUUUAAAUAUAUUUAGCUUCUUUAUUAUGUUCCCCUCACCCUACCACCCCUCCCUUAAUUGGAGUAAACAAAUGAAAUAGAUUUGACUUCUUUAUUAUGUUCCCCUAACCCAACAAUACUUAGGCUUCCACUUCCAGGUUAUACAUACUACAUACCUUUAAUAGAAAAUAUAUUUUACAUUAGUUAUCUUCUGUUUGUUUUUAGUCCCAGCCUUCAGCUACCAUCAACCCCUCCCAUCUACAGUGAGGGGAAAAAAGUAUUUGAUCCCCUGCUGAUUUUGUACGUUUGCCCACUGACAAAGAAAUGACCAGUCUAUGUUUUGCAGAGGGGUCAAAUACUUAUUUCCCUCAUUAAAAUGCAAAUCAAUUUAUAACAUUUUUGACAUGCAUUUUUGUGGAUUUUUUUGUUGUUAUUCUGUCACUCCCUGUUCAAAUAAACCUACCAUUAAAAUUAUAGACGGAUCAUUUCUUUGUCAGUGGGCAAACGUACAAAAUCAGCAGGGGAGCAAAAACUUUUUUCCCUCACUGUAUCUUUGAAGACCAUCCAAUUUAGAUUUUUUGAUUUCACCUUUAUUUAACCAGGUAGGCUAGUUGAGAACAAGUUCUCAUUUGCAGCUGUGAUCUGGCCAAGAUAAAGCAAAGCAGUUUGACACAUACAACAACACAGAGUUACGCAUGGAAUAAACAAACAUACAAUCAAUAAUACAGUAAUACAAUACAUUUCUGGCUGCCAUAUAUUUUUCAACUGUGCUUUGAUUUUUCAUAAAAGUUCUGAACCUUUCUAUACUCAUAGUUUCUACAGAUUGUAAAUUAAAGAUAAACACCUUUGCUAAGAGUAUUAUUAUACUAUUGAUCGAUUGACUAUGACUUUUUAAAUCACCCAGCAGAGCUAUUUGCAAAGUUGGUUCCGAGUAAAUUUGGCAAUUUUUCUGAACCUGCGACCAAAAACAAGCUACAUAUGGACAGUACCAAAACAAAUGAUCCAAAUAUUCUCUUUGCAAUAAAAUCUGCAAAGCUGGGAUGGUUGUAGCCCCAUAUAUAUAACAUUCUAUUGGUUGCAAGAAUGUUAUAGAAUAUUUUAAAUGGAAAAACUCCGGCUGUGUUUUUUGGUCCUUAAAUGAAACUGGUAUACUUUGUUAUUUAUCACAAUUUUCUUUAGAAAAAUGUUGGUAUUUAAUGCAGGGCCGACAGACAAGUUCCUUACCUUCUCCCCUUUCCACUUGCCUCCGCCAUUUUUGCGGUAAUGCUGCAAUCAGUUGGUUGUAAUUUUGGAUAGAGCAGACAUUUCCAUAUAUUUUUUGUUAACUGCAUGUAUGAAAUAACUCCACCAGUCCUAUUUCUGAUAUAAUUUACAAAGAUUAUACUGUCUUUUUUUAAAUCAAUUAGUAUAUUUGAGUUCAACCAUAGUAUUUGUUCUAAUAUUUGUACUGUCUUUUCUGGUGGAUUAAACUGAAAUUGCAACCAGCUUUCUAUUGCUUGUUUUAAAAAUAGACAUAUUUUGGAGAUUAUUUCAUUUUCAAAUAACUGAAAGUGAGAGGUUGUAAUCUGGAUGAAGGUAAAAAAAAGGCCAUUCUUGAACACGGGGUGAUUCACUCUUACUAAUCUCCUAGAGCAGGUAUUCUACUAGAGCAGGUAUUCUACUAGAGCAGGUAUUCUCAUAGAGCAGGUAUUCUCCUAGAGCAGGUAU